CUUUCGGACGCAGCGAACAAGCGCAUUAAGUUUCGGUAAAAAGACGCCGCGUGUGUUUGUUGAAUAGCAAGAAAAGAAAGAAAAAAGAAGUAAUACAGAUAUUGCAGAAGCAAUUUGCUGCCGCCACCUCAACCUAACACACGGCAGCAGUGAUAACAAGAUAAAUAAAAUGCAGUAAAAGUUGAGGCAGAAACGUGACAAAUGGAAAUAAAUAUAUAAUAAAUAUUAUUCAAUUAUUCGUGUGUGUGUGAGUGUGUGUGUGCGCCGCGUAAAAAAAACCAAAAAAUCAGCAGUCGCCGCAACAACAACAAAAACCAACAGUUAAAUUUGUCGACUGUGCUGCAACUUUAGUCAACGUCUCCUUAUCGUCCUCGUCGUGCUUCGCGUACUCUUGUAAUUUAAAUAACAAAAAAAAAAAAAUAUCAAAAAAUGCAAUUGCCGCCGCAUUGAGUAUUUUUCUCUCUCCUCUCCUUACUUUAUGGCCGUUGCUUAGCGUCUCUGUCGCCGUCAUCGUCACCGUCACCGUCACCGCCGUCGUUGUCCCCGCAAACACACACGCACACUCAUACCAAUGCGGAAGAGGAGCUGUCGCCAUCAGUAGCUGUCCCCACCAUUGUUGCCACACUGUCGCUGCCACUUACGCUGCCGCCGCUCUUUAAAUGCAAUUUCAAUAAUUUUGCAUUUUUUAAGUUACGCCAACAACAACCACAACAACCAGCAAUUCGCUUAAAUUGAGAAAUUGUAGUGCAACAAAAAAAAAAAAAAAAUUCAUGUUAGAAAAAAAUUAAAGUGUUUAACAGCCUUGAGCAAUUUUUAAUUUGUGCUAACUUCUUAGUAAAUAAAAUCGAAAGCGUGCAGCAACAGCAACAACAUAAAUACCAACAACAAAUGAAAGCAAAUCAAAUGGCCAACUAUUGAAUGGCGGCCAUUAGUGGCCUCAAGCGACACCCAUUGAGCAAUCAGCAUCAUUUCUACCACAAGUCAUCAACAACAGCAACAGCACAACCAACACCACCGCCAACAACAAUAAUUUAACAGUAGCAACAACUACCACAGCUAGCACAACUAAAACAACAACGACAACAACAACUGCAGCAUCAAAAUUGCUUAAGAAUUCGAGCAGACGCUGUCAACAAAUUCUUUAGAGAGUGCACCGAAGAGAUCAAUGAGCGUUUCGAUGUCUCUGGUACAGGGUGGAGCUGCCGGUGGUGCGCCACAGGGUGCCAGCGCUAUUUUGGCCGCUGCCGCACCAUAUUAUCAACCGCCAGCGGUGCCGCAGGAUGUUCAACCGGAUCGUCCAAUUGGUUAUGGUGCAUUUGGAGUUGUCUGGGCUGUGACAGAUCCACGAGAUGGACGACGCGUUGCACUGAAAAAGCUACCGAAUGUGUUUCAAUCGUUGGUCUCAUCGAAACGCGUUUUUCGCGAACUGAAAAUGCUUUGCUUUUUCAAGCAUGAAAACGUGCUAUCGGCUUUGGAUAUUUUACAGCCGCCACAUUUGGACUUUUUUCAGGAAAUCUAUGUGAUAACUGAACUGCUACAAUCGGAUCUCCACAAAAUAAUCGUCUCGCCGCAACAUCUCUCCGCCGAUCACAUUAAGGUCUUUCUCUAUCAGAUACUGCGCGGCCUCAAGUAUCUGCACUCGGCACGCAUUCUGCAUCGCGACAUCAAGCCCGGCAAUCUGCUCGUCAACUCGAAUUGUGUGCUCAAAAUCUGUGACUUCGGACUGGCCCGUGUCGAGGAACCCGAUCAGGCCAAACACAUGACCCAAGAGGUGGUCACACAAUAUUAUCGUGCGCCCGAAAUUCUGAUGGGGGCGCGUCAUUAUUCUUCAGCGGUAGAUGUGUGGUCGGUGGGUUGCAUAUUUGGCGAACUGCUCGGCCGUCGCAUUCUGUUCCAGGCACAGAAUCCCGUACAACAGCUGGAGCUGAUCACAGAGCUACUCGGCACGCCCACCAUGGAGGAUAUGCGACACGCCUGCGAGGGCGCCCGCACACACAUGCUGCGUCGUGCCCCCAAGCCGCCAUCCUUCUCAGUGCUCUACACGCUCAGCUCACACGCCACACACGAGGCGGUGCAUCUGCUCUGUCAAAUGUUGGUCUUCGAUCCGGACAAGCGCAUUUCAGUCACCGAUGCCCUGGCGCAUCCCUACCUCGACGAGGGCCGUCUGCGCUAUCACUCGUGCAUGUGCAAGUGCUGCUUCACUACCUCGGCUGGCAUGCGUCAGUAUACGGCGGACUUUGAGCCGUCGGCCGGUCAGCCCUUCGAUGAUUUGUGGGAGCGCAAGCUGACCUCAGUGCAGCAGGUGAAAGAGGAGAUGCACAAAUUUAUUGCCGAGCAACUGCAAACGGGUCGAGUACCGUUGUGCAUCAAUCCACAGAGUGCGGCGUUUAAGAGCUUUGCCAGCCAAUGAGAAUGAGAAUAUCUACUACUACUACCACUACUACUACUACCACAACUUGCACUGCUGCUCCUGCCGCUGUCGCUGUCGCUGCUCUGUCGCAGUUGCAGUCGCAGUCACAGUUGCGUGUCGCGUCAACGUCGUCCUCAAGGUUGCAGUCGCAGUAUCGGUCGCUGCCCAAGCCGCUGCCGCCGCUUUGCCGCAGAGACCCAACCUGCCUAGGCGCGCGCUCUCUUAAAAAGAAAACUUGUAAAGCAUAAGAAAACGAAACUCUCAAGAGUGUCUCUCUCUCUCAGAGACAGAAUGAAGCCCCACAUAAGCCAGAAGUCACAAACUGCCAAGAAACAAGAACCAAGUACCAAGAUCAUGGGGGCGUGGCUGGGGGCCACCUCAACAGCAGCUCCGCUCGCGCGCUCUCUCGCCUUAGCUCCACUGUGGCACAUCCUUCGGAGCUGCCGCCCUCACCGCACCAAUGGGAAUGACGGCAAAAUGAGGCGAUUGCUGCCUAAAAUAUGAAAAGCAAAACAACCAAGAGCCCAAAAUGAACACAAAACUAACUGUAAACGGAGGAGAGAACGUGAGAGAGGAACUUCAAUAUAUGUAUAAGAAAGAAAGUUCGCGCGCCAACCAAAAACAAAAACAAAGGACAACUUAAAAGCUACGUAUUUGACGACAGUCCGGAAAGAGAACGAAAAGAAAGAGAGAGAGAAAGAGCAGCAGAAGCAACUACAGCAACACAACAUAAUUAGUCUUAAGUUUAGUAAAGAGCAAGAGAGAGAGAGAGAGAGAGAGGAGCAGCAACUCAAGAAACAACGAUUCGAUUUAAAAAGAAACUUAAAGCGUCGUCUACAGAGGUGCGCUUUCAAAAGUCUGUUAGGAAAAAGAGAAAAGCAAAAGCAAAUGCAUUCCACCACCGAAAAUCAAGCAAAUACAUAAAAUGAUGUAUGAAAUAGGCAUAAAAUAACAACAAUACCAACAAACAAACAAACACACCACACACACAAACAAACAAAAUGUAACGUAACUCAACUCAAACUAGUCUAAAAACGAAAGUAGUUUAAAGAGAAGAGAACCGAAGAGAACCACGUGGAAAGGAGAGAAGAGGAGACGAGGUAGAGGCAGCAACAAUAACAGAAUAGAUCGAUGGAAUGAGGAUGCAAGAGAACAAGAAAAACAAAACUAAAGAGACUACGCAUAAAUAUUGUGAGCGUAGCAAGAAAAUUAAACAAAAUUAAACAUUUAACAUUUUCGGCAACAAAGCAAAAUUUGUUGUGCUUGACAAAAACAUAAAAGAUAACGAAACGAACCAUAAUAAAAUAAAAAUUAAACAAA